CCAGUGUUGAGAAACAUCCAGGCUGUUUCUCAAUCCUGCUAUUAAACACGAUGCCUGGAUGCGCGUCUUUUGUGACCCUGGGCGAGGCCCUGAACCGCAGCUGUGUGACAGCUUCUCUGAAGAAUAAUGUGACAGUGCCCUCCAGGAAGGAGGCGUAGACUAAAGGAUUACACUCAUCCCUGCGAAUACCCAGUGUUGGCAAACAGAAUCCUCUGACCCCAUAGCAGGGAAGGAGGGGCGCCAACCCUUCUUGUAGAGAUCACUGGCUACCGAUUUAUUUGAAAGAAUCAAUACCACGGGAUCUACAUGAUGUACAGAGUCAACACCGUCGCUCAAUCCGGCCAUGAACUAACCAAACCUCCCCACAUCUCGCGUAGCCAGUCGAUAUCAUGGCCCCGUCAUUCUUUCCCCGUUAAGGCCCCAGGAAAACAUGCACAGGGACCUUACAAAAGAGCUGCCACGGGCAUUGACACCCUGUCCCCAGAGCUAUCAGACCAUCUCCCUUCAUUUCGCUUGCUGCUUCUUGCCCUCCCUUUGUUUUCUGAGAGCCAUUUGGCUCCUUGCCCAGCUUCUCAAGGGCCCCUCUGGCACCUCUUGUUCUAAUAUUUCAAGACAGCUUUAUGGCUUGACUCCUCUUGCCUAAUUUUGAUAGUCUCGCCUAGGUCCCAUCCCCUGCAAUCUCCCAAGGGCGCGGGGGUGAGGCCAUCCCCCUGGCUCCACUUCCCCACCGAGAUGCCAUCCACGGCUGGGCAUGGCACCAGACAACCAUCUCCAAAGAUGACACCACAGCUCACGGCUAAACCCUUUAAAAACUUUUCUUUAAGGAAAUGUUUACAAUGUUUGGAAGACAGCGAGGCAGGUUAACUAUACAGUAGCUGAAACCACUACAAUCUAUAGCCACUGAUGUAAUUAUUCCUCUAUGUCCUUGGCGUGUCUUCAGAGACACUCUAGUCCACAGCCUCGUCCUGCUCUAACCCUGAUUCUGGAAGACCCACCGGCAUGGACUGUUUCAGCAACCUCUUACCUGAAUUGAUGUCAUCCAACUUCUCCAUGUCCCAGUCAUAUCUAUAUCUACAUGUAUGUACAUCUAUGUCGUUCUAUAUUUGACAUAUCAAAUUUAUCUUACUAAA